UACGUAGGGGGCAAGCGUUGUCCGGAAUCAUUGGGCGUAACGCGCGCGUAGGCGGCCCGAUAAGUCUGCUGUGAAAGUCCAGGGCUCAACCCUGGAAUGCCGGUGGAUACUGUCGGGCUAGAGUUCGGAAGAGGCAAGUGGAAUUCCUGGUGUAGCGGUGGAAUGCGCAGAUAUCAGGAGGAACACCUAUAGCGAAGGCAGCUUGCUGGGACGACACUGACGCUAAGGCGCGAAAGCGUGGGGAGCGAACAGG
rnacentral:rRNA from 1 species